rnacentral:lncRNA from 1 species
AUUAAAAAUUAUUAAGGCCCUAUUAGUAAAUUUAUUUGUCCCUUUUCCCCUUUGCACGUUUAGAUAUGCCAUGAUAAAGCCACAAAGGGAAAAUAGAUAACAUUUGAAUUUCUCGUGACAGCUGAUAGCAGAACCCACUAGUUAGAGGAAAGACAAAGUCAUCAAAACUUCAGAAGAUAUGUAUGCAGAAACUCAACUACCAAGCUUUCCUAUAAGCCAAAGUACUACAUUAAACAUGAAUACCUAAAAAAUUAGCCAUCUAUUCCAUUUAAAAUAAGUACUUUGGAUCACAAAACACAAAAGAUAAUCCUGAGGUGCAAGGGUAAGUGAACAAGAAAAAACUACAACAAAAAAGCCCAUGCCAUUCAGAAUUCAUAAAGGCCAAAUUAUUUCCAUCUUUUUCUACACUACAUUUGAUGUCCCAGCCCUCACUAACUCUUCACUUGGUUGUAAUUGUACAAGGAUUGUGCCUGUGGCAGCUCCUAUGCUUACAAUGCACUUGCAUCAGUCAUCACAUGAUACCACAUAGUUGAGUCAUCACAUGAUACCACAUAGUUGAGUCACCACAUAGAUUAUAAGUGAGCUAAGCUUGACUAGGCCCUUAGAAUUCUGAAAAGACCCUCUCCUCUCACGGCCAAAGGCUCCACAACACAUUGAAUAAGUUUUAGAUCCUAGCCCUGCCUCUUCUCAGUUCACAAUACUAAAUGCCUAAAUCACUAACUAAUCCAAUCAAAUCCACAUUACUGACUAACUGCAAAAUAAUCUUUUUUCUAGAGGUACUGAAUACAACUCUAUUAACAAGCAAAAUAUAGGUUGCAUUAAUGAUAAAGAUCUCUAAGAAAACCGCAGAAAGAAAAAUGACUAACACGUGAGUAUUCCAGCCUAUUAAAGUGGAUAUAUAUUCAAAGAUAAAAGCUAUGCACAAUGGACGCUGCUUCUAUUUCAUUACCUCUAAAAAAAUAAAAUGAUUAACUAUUUCUCAAAUUACAUCACAUUAUAUUGACUCGUGCGGAAACGAGUUACAGAUAACUGAAAUUGCUGUGGCAGCUGAUUUGCAAUACUAAAAUAUGAGCCACACAUCAUUAGUUUGCAGGUCAAUAACAUGUACUGUACAAAUUUAGUUAGCAACUAUGCAGGACUAAAGUAAUAAAAUCAUUCAAU